rnacentral:rRNA from 1 species
UACGUAGGGGGCAAGCGUUGUCCGGAUUUAUUGGGCGUAAAGCGCACGCAGGCGGUGCCGUAAGUUUCGUGUGACAGGUGGUGGCUUAACUGCCACAGGCCUUGGAAAACUGCUGGACUUGAGGGCUUGAGAGGGACGCGGAAUUCCAGGUGGAGCGGUGAAAUGCGUAGAGAUCUGGAAGAACACCAAAGGCGAAGGCAGCGUCCUGGCGAGCAACUGACGCUCAUGUGCGAAAGCUAGGGGAGCAAACGGG